GUCAAAAUGUUACUAAGUCAUAGUGGCUGGACAGCUGCUGCUGCCCGGGCCGCCAAGCAGACCGCAUCCCGCCGCCCAGCUUCCAAGGAGCUGUCACGAAACCUCGCAGCGGAGCCCUGCACGAAUUGCCAACGUGCCUCGCAUCUUUUCGUGACCACUAGCCCAGCCCAGCCCCAUUAGCCUUUUUCUGGACCCUGAGUGACAGCCCGUCUGGGACAAGACGCAAGUGAUAGUCACAUCUUUCCUUCUAAGUCUUUAGCCAGCUGGGGGAUUUAAAAAUAAAGAACGGAACUGAUCCGAAGUGUCAGCCUCUCCUGACAGUGUGAGUAAUUUCCCCCGCUGUCACAGGGCCUCGCUCCCUGAGUUCUUGCAAGCAUCCGAGUCACUCUCCUGGGCUCAAGGGAGCACAGCCAUCGAGGUACCACUGCUCCAUCAGGACAGCCCUGUUUCCUCGUGAUGCAAGGGCAAAAGAGGAGGGCCAGGCUGCGCCGCGCGGGAAGGAUUUGCACGGGAGCACGUUGACUCCUCCAGACCCUGCCCUGGGUGUGAUGGGCCCUGCACCCCAAGCAGGUCAAGGAUGAGCAAACUACUCACCUGCAAAACAUUCUGGGCCACAAGCCCGUCUCCUGUUUCCUUUGCGACGCAAGUCACUGAAUCGUUAGAGGGAAGAAGCCUUGAAGGUCAUGGGUCAUUCCCAGCCCUUUCAGAGGUGUUUCCAUAUCAUUAGUCACACUUCGGUCUCAGCGAAAGCUCUAACCUGUGGAAUUCUCAGCCUCUGAGCUCGACAGUGUGAUGCGGCGAGAACAGGUGAAAGGAGACUGGAGAGCACGAGGCCCUCAGCCCGCCCGUUGUGUUUUCUGCCUUAGUGCUGGCUGGCACUGCUCCUGGAACUCUGGGAGGCAGGAUUGUACACAAGAUCUUCAGUCAUCUCUCACGAUACUUUCAGCUGUACUUCAUAGAUUACCCAGCUAUCAGUGGCUCAAACAAUAAAGACAUUUAUCAUCUCAUUUAACAAGUCUGGAGCUGGGAGGUUGCAGGGUUGGUUCAGCGGCUCGACAACGUCAGGAAGGAUCCAUGCCCUUCCCAUCUUCCUUCUCCAUCAUCUUCAGAGCAUGGUGUUUUCUCCUGCGUGGUUGCAAGAUGGCUGCCACACCUCCAAGCAUCACAUGCUUAAAAGACAACAUCCAGACCAGGAAGGGGGAGGCAGGGCCUUCUUAUUGCACUUCUCUCUCUCUUGCUUCUCUCUCCCUCUCUCCCCCUCCCCCUACCCAAUCCAGGCAAGGAAGUCUUUCCCAGAAGCCCCCUAGCAAACUUUCCCUAAUUCUAAUUGGCCAGAACUGAGUCAAAUGCCUGUUUUAGACUGAUCCCUGGAAAAGACAGUAAGGAUUAACCAGAUAGCUUUAGAACUAUUGUAGUUCUCGACCUAGAACUAGUGUGGGCCUGGGGGAUGGAGCCACCUUCU
rnacentral:lncRNA from 1 species